rnacentral:rRNA from 1 species
CGGAGGGGGCAAGCGUUGUCCGGAAUUACUGGGCGUAAAGCGCUCGUAGGCGGUCGCAUACGGCGGUGGUGAAAGCUCCCGGCUCAACUGGGAGAGGCCCGCCGCAACGGUGCGACUCGAGGAUGGUAGAGGCAGAUGGAAUUCCUGGUGUAGCGGUGAAAUGCGUAGAGAUCAGGAGGAACACCCAUGGCGAAGGCAGUCUGCUGGGCCACACCUGACGCUGAGGAGCGAAAGCUAGGGGAGCGAACGGGAUUAGAUACCCCGGUAGUCCUAGCCGUAAACGAUGGAUACUAGGUGUCAGCGGUAUCGACCCCGCUGGUGCCGGAGCUAACGCGUGAAGUAUCCCGCCUGGGGAGUACGGCCGCAAGGUUG